AGAGUUUGAUCAUGGCUCAGGACGAACGCUGGCGGCGUGCCUAACACAUGCAAGUCGUACGGGAUUUGGGGGCAACUCCAAGUUCAGUGGCAGACGGGUGCGUAACACGUGAAGAACUUGUCCGGUGGCGGGGGAUAGCCGGCCCAACGGCCGGGUAAUACCGCAUACGCUCGCGUGACGGCAUCGUUGCGCGAGGAAAGCAGCCGCAAGGUUGCGCCGACGGAGAGCUUCGCGGCCUAUCAGCUUGUUGGCGGGGUAAUGGCCCACCAAGGCGACGACGGGUAGCUGGUCUGAGAGGAUGAUCAGCCACAUUGGGACUGAGACACGGCCCAGACUCCUACGGGAGGCAGCAGUGGGGAAUAUUGCGCAAUGGCCGCAAGGCUGACGCAGCGACGCCGCGUGUGGGAUGACGGUCUUCGGAUUGUAAACCACUGUCAGGGGGAACGAAUACAGGGCGUCGAAUAGGCGACCCUGGGUGACGGUACCUCCAAAGGAAGCACCGGCUAACUCCGUGCCAGCAGCCGCGGUAAUACGGAGGGUGCGAGCGUUGUCCGGAAUCACUGGGCGUAAAGGGCGCGUAGGUGGUUCGAUAAGUCGCUGGUGAAAUUCCGGGGCUCAACUCCGGAGCUGCCGGCGAGACUGUCGGACUUGAGCACGGUAGGGGCAGAUGGAAUUCCCGGUGUAGCGGUGGAAUGCGUAGAUAUCGGGAAGAAUACCAGUGGCGAAGGCGUUCUGCUGGGCCGUUGCUGACACUGAGGCGCGACAGCGUGGGGAGCAAACAGGAUUAGAUACCCUAGUAGUCC
rnacentral:rRNA from 1 species